AUAUUACUAUUUUGUGAACUUUCCUUUUUUUUUGAAAUCACAUUAUACAUACAUAUAUUUUCGUUUUCAAUUUGUUUUUUUUUUUAACUUUAUAAACAAAUUUCCUUUUUAUUAUAGGUAUAUGUUUUUGGAAAAUUUUUAAAAAGGAAACUAAAUAAAAAAUAAAUAAUAGUAUUUAAUAUUUUUUAUUCAUUAAGGGUAUCAGUGUAAUCAACCAUCGUGAGAGUUAAUAUGAGAGCGACACAUAGGAAACUGACUUCUCAAAUAAUAUUAUAGAGAUUUUCUGCAUGUUUGUUAGUUAUAUGAUCUUGAUUAGAUGAAAAUGUUUUUGAAAAACUAAUAAUUAUUAAAAUAUGGAAAAUAUAUAUAUUUUACAAUUGAGUUUUGUCAAAAUUUGUAUUUUGAUAAAUAAUAUAAUUUACUAAAAGGAUAAAUUAUAAAAAAAAUAUUAUGAAUAGUAAAAAUUGUUUAUAAAAUAAGAAUACGUUCACUUUGGAACAUCUCUAUAAUAUUAUUUGAGAAGUCAUUUUUAUACGUGUCGUUCUCACGUUAAUUCUUAGAGUGGUCAAUUACAAACAUAACCUUAAUGAAUUAUAAAUUAUACAUAAUUGACAUUAUUAAGAUUAUUUAUAUUUUCUUUUUGAUUGAUAAAUUUCUAAUUGGGCUUUUCACUUUAUUUCCUUUUUCUUUUAAUUUUCCUUACAAAACUCAUAUAAAUAAUAAAAAGGAAAUAUCUAUAAUAAUUAUAACAUUUAUAUAUAUAAUAACUAAUUUUAGUUUUAGUUUUAUUUCUUUUCAUAUUUUCAAAAACAACAUAAGUAAAAAAGUAAAUAUCUAUAAGUUUUAAAAUAUAUAGUUUUUUAGACACAAAACAUAGGUUCAUAAAAAUAGUAUAGAUAAUUUUCUUUGAAAAGAAAACAAUAGAUUUUCAUACCUCAAACUUAAAACUAAAGUAUAUGCAACAAAAUUAAUCAAUUUAAACGUAAUUAGAAUAAACAAUAUUGUUUUUUUUUUUAAUUUAGACAAAUAUAUAAAACUAAAUAUACUUAAACAUGGGAGAAUUUUACCUUUACACUUUGUUGAGUACCACUAUUCAAAUAUACACUUAAAAGGAGGACAUUUUCAUAAAUACACUUUUCAUUAAUGACCAAAAGACCAUAUUAGCCCUAACCUUAUCUCUCUCUCGCGAUCUUCUUUUCUUCCUCUCUCUGGCGAUCUUUUUUCUUUCUCUCUGCCUCCGAUUUACCGGAGAUCCACCAUCUCUCUCGCGAUCUUUUUUCUUGCGGAUCUUCACUCUGUUUACGAGAAUCACUUUGUCUUGCGGAUCUUCACUCUGUUUUCGCGACGUUCUCGUUGGCUUGGACUGCAAAUCUAGUUUGAGAGAGUAUAUUUGUGUGGUUAAAGGUUCAGAUCGAUCCUCGUUUGCUCUCAUUGGGUUCGAGAACUGGCGAAUUGAGGUGCUGUUGGCUUCAGACUUGAGAACCAGCGAAUUUCUAGUAUCAGCAGACGUUCUGCAAGGAUUGCUUACUGUGGUCUCUUUGCACUUUCCUUAAUCGUAUCAUGGAUUCUCCGUGAGGUUGCUGCUCCUCUCAUGGAGAAGCUUCCUUGGAUUAACCAUUUUCACAAUACACCUGAUCGGGAAUGGUUUGAGACUGAUGCUGUCUUGCGUGUCAGCUUAGGGAACUUCGUGUUUUUCUCGAUUUUAUAGGUUAUGAUGAUUGGUGUGAAGACUCAGAAAGACCCUCGUGAUGGCAUACACCACAGUGGUUGGAUGAUGAAAGUCAUCUGAAGAACUGAUUUUGGGUCUUGCUUAGAGUUAUAUAAUUUGGUAGCGAGGUCUUUCGAGUCCCUCCAAGCUUGAAGCCCCUUUAGUCUUUCCUCAAAUGCAGCCAUCACAGCUGGCCUGUGCAUGCUUCUUAGUUCCUGCAAUCUACUUUCGUUUAAAUCUUGGUAACCCAUGCAAGCCGUGAAAACUAGCUGGCUGCUAUCAAACGUUGAGCCAGUCAUUGAUUGAAGCAAAGUAAUCGCAUCUCCAGCGUCCUUGGUUGUAAUUAGUGUAGGACAUGUGUUUACUGGGUUUGUUUAGUAAGUCCAUAAGACUUAAUCACAUUAUAUAUCAAUAUGGACACUGACUGAUGUUUAACCGAGUACCAUAAAACACCAAGUGCUGUUCUCAAAAGCAUUACACGGUUUCCUUCAAACAGAAGCACAUCCCACACUCUGAGAACUGUUAUAGCAAAAAGAAACGUUAGAAAAAAAUAAAGAACUGAUCAAUAAAAAAUCUCGCAAGAUCAAGUUUGGAACCUAACCAUUUUCCCAUGGAAGCAUAUUGAUGAAGAUGGAAAGAAACCAUGGCGCUGUAACACAAGAGUUUAUAAAGAAAUUUAUUAGCUUUUAUAAGACAAUUUAUAGAUUAUAUAUAACGGUUAUUAUAUAUAACCCAUUUCAGUCAGCGACAUAUUAUUACUUAAAAUAGUGUUAUAUUUAUUUUGUAUCCAUGUAAAUUACAAACGAUUCAAAACUAAUAAUCAAGUAACAAUAUAUUAAUGAGUUAUUACGAUUUAGUUUGGUUAAAAAUAUUUAUUUACAUGUAUAAAUUUCAAAAUAUUACUUAUUAUGUUCACUUAUGCAACUUCGGACUAACAAUACUGUUUUAUUUGUUUCCUAAAAUAACAUAUAUCAAAUUAGGCAUAAUUUUAUGAAAAUAUAUUAUGAAUAGAAGACAAUAAAUCAAAUUAAAUGCAGCUAAUAAAUUUAAUCAGAUUUAACUUUUUCAGAACACUAAACAUUAAUCUAUAGUUGAGAUGAAAACAAAAAAUCUCAUAUAUCCGAAAAAUAAUUGAUCAAAUUAUGUGUAAGCAAAAUAAGGUAUUUUUUAAACCCAUUUUCCAUACAUAUAAAUUACAAAAAAAAUUAAAACUUAAUAAAAAAUAUCUUACAAAUAUUUUAAAUUAUAUUUUUAAAAUACUUAUUUCCGUGCAUGAGCACGGAAGAAUCAACUAAUAUACAUUUAAUCAAUGUUGAUACAUGCUACAUUAAUAUUAACAAAAAGCUAAGAAAAAUAAGAAGCUAUUCUAAAAUAUAAUCAUAUAAUAUCUGUAAAUUAUACCCAAAAAAAAAUUUAAAAUUAAAAAUAAAAAUCUAAAAACUAAAAGCCAAAAACCAAAAACUAAAA